rnacentral:rRNA from 1 species
GACGAACGCUGGCGGCGUGCUUAACACAUGCAAGUCGAACGGAAAGACCCUGCUUUUGUGGGGUGCUCGAGUGGCGAACGGGUGAGUAACACGUGAGUAACCUACCCUUGACUUUGGGAUAACUUCAGGAAACUGGGGCUAAUACCGGAUAGGAGCUCCUGCUGCAUGGUGGGGGUUGGAAAGUUUCGGCGGUUGGGGAUGGACUCGCGGCUUAUCAGCUUGUUGGUGGGGUAGUGGCUUACCAAGGCUUUGACGGGUAGCCGGCCUGAGAGGGUGACCGGCCACAUUGGGACUGAGAUACGGCCCAGACUCCUACGGGAGGCAGCAGUGGGGAAUAUUGCACAAUGGGCGGAAGCCUGAUGCAGCAACGCCGCGUGCGGGAUGACGGCCUUCGGGUUGUAAACCGCUUUCGCCUGUGACGAAGCGUGAGUGACGGUAAUGGGUAAAGAAGCACCGGCUAACUACGUG